UAUUUACGGGGCAGGACUAACUGCCUUUUUAUAACUUGGGCUGCCCCCUGUCCCACUCCCCCUGUGACCCUAUAUAGCAGUCCCUUGUCCCAGUGGAAGUUCUCGUGGCCAUUACCUUCCUUAGAGAUCCCUACUGCCUUCCUGUACCCUGCUAAGGUGGGGUCUGACUGCUGGGCUUGGCCAAAAUCUUGGGGAGCACCCCAGAAAGGAAUAGGGGUAGGGCAGGUUACGGGGGUUUCUGUUCCUACCUGUGGUUCCUUGGAGUGUGUCAAUCCAGCCCGGUGGGCUUGUGCCCUGGUCGUCACGGGGCAUGUUCCAGCGGGAUCGGGGUGAAUCAGCUGUAAAGUUAGACACCCCAAAUCGUUCCCCAACAAAACUUCCGCAGGUAAUCCCGACAUAAUGCCCACCUCCAUCUGCUUGGCUCCAGUGCCCCAGUUUAACUGUACCCGGGCUGUGGGUAACUUGUGGGUGGCGCCCCCUGCCACCCUUACAGCUACAGUCUUAUGGGUGCGCGCCUUUGCAGACACCGUGUGAGGUUGUACCAAGGUAAGGGUAGCCCCAGAGUCUCGUAGCGCCUCUGCC